rnacentral:rRNA from 1 species
CCUACGGGAGGCAGCAGUAGGGAAUAUUGGGCAAUGGGCGAGAGCCUGACCCAGCCAUGCCGCGUGCAGGAAGAAGGCUUUCUGAGUCGUAAACUGCUUUUGACAGGGAAGAAUAAGCACUACGUGUAGUGUGAUGACGGUACCUGCAGAAUAAGCACCGGCUAACUCCGUGCCAGCAGCCGCGGUAAUACGGAGGGUGCGAGCGUUGUCCGGAUUUAUUGGGUUUAAAGGGUGCGUAGGCGGCUUUUUAAGUCUGGGGUGAAAGCCCGCUGCUCAACAGCGGAACUGCCCUGGAUACUGGAGAGCUUGAGUACAGACGAGGUUGGCGGAAUGGACUGAGUAGCGGUGAAAUGCAUAGAUACAGUCCAGAACCCCGAUUGCGAAGGCAGCUGACUAGGCUGUUACUGACGCUGAGGCACGAAAGCGUGGGGAGCGAACAGGAUUAGAUACCCUGGUAGUCCACGCCGUAAACGAUGGAUACUCGCUGCGNGAUAAGAUUGUUCGUGCGUAGGAACGAGUAAGUACUCCACCGUGGGAGGUACGCGUCGCGAGAGUAGUAACGUUAAACGUUAGUAGUUAGUACGGACGUUAGAGACGNGCCGACGGACGACGACGAGGGAGGAGG